UACUGUGCCAUUUAGCACUGAGCACACUUUCCAGGAAGGACCCUCUUCUUGGAACUGGAUCGGAGAGCCAUGUCCUUCUGAAAUGAGCAACAUCCAAAAGAGCUCAUCGUAUCGCACGAAAGGACUGAAGGCAUCGGAUAAAGCUGAAAGCCAGGAGAAGAUGCCCAGGAAGAACCAUAGGAGAGAGUCCCUGACUUCAAUUGAUUCCUCCAUGGGUUCACCAUCUUAUGGAAGUUUUACAACAUAUGAGAAAAUUCCAAUCAAGCAUGGAGAAGAAGAAAUUGUUACUCCCGUUAGGCGGUCGAGCAGAAUCAGAAAACAAGUCACCUCUCCAUGAUGACUGAACAAGAUGUUUCUUCCGUUGCGACAUAAUGCAAUGUAGUUAUGAAGGAACCAUUAGUUUAGUUUGACUAGUCGUUUGAUGAUUUGUUAUUUUAGGGUGUUUAUUAUCUGCUAACGAACCAUGUUCAGUAGUUGAAUGACUUUGUAAUCUUCUACCAUUUUCUAAUGGUUCUAUUAAUGAUAGCUUUGUUUCUGCCAA